GACGUAGGGCGCGAGCGUUGUCCGGAUUUAUUGGGCGUAAAGAGCUCGUAGGCGGCUCAUUGCGUCAACCGUGAAAACCAGCAGCUCAACUGUUGGCUUGCGGUUGAUACGGGUGGGCUGGAGUUCGGUAGGGGAGACUGGAAUUCCUGGUGUAGCGGUGAAAUGCGCAGAUAUCAGGAGGAACACCGGUGGCGAAGGCGGGUCUCUGGGCAUUUCCUGACGCUGAGGCGCGAAAGCGUGGGGAGCAAACGGG
rnacentral:rRNA from 1 species